UUUCCGGUUGAUCCCGCCGGACCCGACUGCUAUCAGAGUGAGAUUAAGCCAUGCGAGUCAACGUAGCAAUACGUGGCACACGGCUCAGCAACACGUAGUCAACAUAACCAAAGGAUGUGGAUAAACUCGGGAAACUGAGGCUAAACCGCGAUAGACCAAGAUACCUGGAAUGGUUUUUGAUUAAAAUCUAUAUGGCCUUUGGAUUGGACUGCGACCGAUCAGGCUGUUGGUGAGGUAAUGGCCCACCAAACCUGUAACCGGUACGGGCUCUGAGAGGAGGAGCCCGGAGAUGGGUACUGAGACAAGGACCCAGGCCCUAUGGGGCGCAGCAGGCGCGAAACCUCUGCAAUAGGCGAAAGCCUGACAGGGUUAUUCUGAGUGACUUUCGCUAAGAAAGUCUUUUGACACCUCUAAAAAUGGUGUAGAAUAAGGGGUGGGCAAGUCUGGUGUCAGCCGCCGCGGUAAUACCAGCACCCCGAGUGGUCGGGACGAUUAUUGGGCCUAAAGCAUCCGUAGCCGGUUUUACAAGUCCUCCGUUAAAUCCAACUGCUUAACAGAUGGGCCGCGGAGGAUACUAUAAGACUAGGAGGCAGGAGAGGCAAGCGGUACUCAGUGGGUAGGGGUAAAAUCCGUUGAUCCAUUGAAGACCACCAGUGGCGAAGGCGGCUUGCCAGAAUGCGCUCGACGGUGAGGGAUGAAAGCUGGGGGAGCAAACCGGAUUAGAUACCCGGGUAGUCCCAGCUGUAAACGAUGCAGACUCGGUGAUGGACUAGCUUCAUGCUAGUCCAGUGCCGCAGGGAAGCCGUUAAGUCUGCCGCCUGGGGAGUACGGUCGCAAGACUGAAACUUAAAGGAAUUGGCGGGGGAGCACCACAAGGGGUGAAGCCUGCGGUUCAAUUGGAGUCAACGCCGGA
rnacentral:rRNA from 1 species